CAGACCGGUCAGCCCUUCGCAAUUUUGCUGCGGGUGUGUGUGUGUGUGUGUGUGUGGGGUGCGGGGGGGGAAGGGGGGGGUGCGCGUCGUAAGUAUUGUCUUUAACAGAUUCUGUAGCUUUCUGUGAACUUCUAAAUCUGCUCCUUAGUGGCAUCUUUUCGGGCCUGAUACUGCCUCUAGUGGCGUGGGGUGGUAACACAGCUAAUAUAAUUACAGUAUUAAAUCAGAAUACCACAACAUCCUUAUAAUUUACUAUUAAUUCUGGCAUUACUGGCACCGUAAAAGAUAAAUUCCCUCACUAAAGAACAUACCUUUUCAUUUUCUUAAGGAAGUAGAGCUAAUUAAAUGACAUAAACAAAACCUGAAAGUGAUUCCAGUUUCACUCGAUGGCCAACCUGUUGAAACUGUGGUAAAUUUUAAAUUCCUUGUCAUUCCUGGACAGUCAGCUCAGUUUUGCUGAAAACACUGGCUAUAUCUUUAAGAACUAUUCUCAGAGACUCUGUCUUUUUAGACCCAGUGAUCUUUGGGUAGAGGUUGUUGAGUUAAAAUGUUAAAACUUUACGUUCUAACUAGAGUUUUAACUCAACUCAACUUUUAACUGUGGACUGUUUUAACUUUUCAUCUCCUUUGGUCACAUGAGCUGCAGACUAACAGACAAUAUUUUCAGAAAACUUUCAAUGGCAGGUAAAAUAGUAGGUAAUAGUUUGAGCUCAUGAAGGCCUUAUUGUUUUCCUCUGGUAACUAAGAACAUCGAUUAGAAGUCAUUUAUUGACAGAGCAAUAAUUAUUCUUAGCCAAACUAAAUGAUAACAUUUACCUGUAGCAUGCUAAGUGUUUUACUUGAUGCACAAAGUGUUGAUAUUGUGAUUCUAUGAAAGAGUUUUAUUUUAUCGUUUUAGAGUCAAAGAAAAAUUUCCACCUUGGAAGACUAAAUAGUUUAACCAGAUUUUUUCCUAAAUAUAAAACUCUACCAACAAAAAGUCUCAGAAUAAUAUACAUGGCACCGUAAAAAUAAAAAUGUAAAUUAUUGCUUG